GAUCCUGGCUCAGGAUGAACGCUGGCGGCGUGCUUAACACAUGCAAGUCGAACGAAGCACUCUAUUUGAUUUUCUUCGGAAAUGAAGAUUUUGUGACUGAGUGGCGGACGGGUGAGUAACGCGUGGGUAACCUGCCUCAUACAGGGGGAUAACAGUUGGAAACGACUGCUAAUACCGCAUAAGCGCACCCAGGAUCGCAUGAUCCGGUGUGAAAAACUCCGGUGGUAUGGGAUGGACCCGCGU
rnacentral:rRNA from 1 species